GCCAUUUAAGAAUCACACACAGUGUUAGUGGAGGAAUGAGGAGGAAGAGAGCUACUGCAUGGAAACUGUUGAAUGUUUACCACUGGGGAGAUUUCAGUGAGUACCAGAUUUCAAUGUGAUUUGUUUUCUAAACUCUAGAGGGAAACUGAGUCCCUGGAAAGGCCCAGCAGAGAUGGAUCCAAACAAGCUUUCAAUGGAAGAGGGCAAGCAGUUCCUUAAACAGUGUGGGAUCCCACAAAGAGAUAUCGAUGCAAUGACCGAGAAAUGGGUAGUUGUUGCCUCUGUGGAGGUUUUAAUUCGAUUCCCUCUGCUGCCAGGGGAGGACCCCACAGCUCGUUGUAUUUCCAAUAAAAGCAGUCAGCCUGCAGUGUCCCAACCAAAUCCAAUCCCUCAAAAUAAAGAAAACCAAGAAAAGAGGAAGUACAAUGAUCAAUCAAUGAAAGAUUUUGCCAAGAAGCCAAAUGUUACAAAGCAGAGUACAGGUGAUUACAUAAAACCUCCUUCGAAGAGACCCACUAGAGAGAACACACAGAAGAAAAAAUGCUUUAGAGCAGUGAGAAAAAGCACUCCAGAGGAAGAGGAGGAAGAAUCCAAGGUCAGUACCCCUGGGACUUUAGGAUUUUCAUUCUAUGUGUAGUUCAGAAAGUAGAUUUAACC
rnacentral:lncRNA from 1 species